UAAUAAUUUUACAUAUUUUUAUACAUAUUUUUAUCUUUUGGGGUUGAAAGCUUUGUUACAUCUUUGUCACUACUUGAGUACAAAGGGUAAAGUCUUGUAACUUCACAACUUUUCUAUUAAUGCAAAGAGUGUACUGAUUUGGAUGAA